CCUACGGGCGGCUGCAGUGGGGAAUAUUGGACAAUGGGCGAAAGCCUGAUCCAGCCAUGCCGCGUGUGUGAAGAAGGCCUUCGGGUUGUAAAGCACUUUCAGUGGGGAAGAAAGCCUUGGGGCUAAUACCCUCGAGGAAGGACAUCACCCACAGAAGAAGCACCGGCUAACUCCGUGCCAGCAGCCGCGGUAAUACGGAGGGUGCGAGCGUUAAUCGGAAUUACUGGGCGUAAAGCGCGCGUAGGCGGUCUGAUAAGCCGGUUGUGAAAGCCCCGGGCUCAACCUGGGAACGGCAUCCGGAACUGUCAGGCUAGAGUGCAGGAGAGGAAGGUAGAAUUCCCGGUGUAGCGGUGAAAUGCGUAGAGAUCGGGAGGAAUACCAGUGGCGAAGGCGGCCUUCUGGACUGACACUGACGCUGAGGUGCGAAAGCGUGGGUAGCAAACAGGAUUAGAUCCCGUGUAGUC
rnacentral:rRNA from 1 species